rnacentral:rRNA from 1 species
AAGCAGAGGGGGCUUAGUGGUGGGGUGACUGCGUACCUUUUGUAUAAUGGGUCAGCGACUUAUAUUCUGUAGCAAGGUUAACCGUAUAGGGGAGCCGGAGGGAAACCGAGUCUUAAUUGGGCGUUAAGUUGCAGGGUAUAGACCCGAAACCCGGUGAUCUAGCCAUGGGCAGGUUGAAGGUUGGGUAACACUAACUGGAGGACCGAACCGACUAAUGUUGAAAAAUUAGCGGAUGACCUGUGGCUGGGGGUGAAAGGCCAAUCAAACCGGGAGAUAGCUGGUUCUCCCCGAAAGCUAUUUAGGUAGCGCCUCGUGAAUUCAUCUCCGGGGGUAGAGCACUGUUUCGGCUAGGGGGCCAUCCCGGCUUACCAACCCGAUGCAAACUGCGAAUACCGGAGAAUGUUAUCACGGGAGACACACGGCGGGUGCUAACGUCCGUCGUGAAGAGGGAAACAACCCAGACCGCCAGCUAAGGUCCCAAAGUCAUGGUUAAGUGGGAAACGAUGUGGGAAGGCCCAGACAGCCAGGAUGUUGGCUUAGAAGCAGCCAUCAUUUAAAGAAAGCGUAAUAGCUCACUGGUCGAGUCGGCCUGCGCGGAAGAUGUAACGGGGCUAAACCAUGCACCGAAGCUGCGGCAGCGAACGUAUCACCCAAGACAACUUUACGGAGUUGACGAUUGACGGAGCGAAGCGACGUCAAAGCGUUCAUUAAAGUCGAGUUGGCUUAGGGAUACGUUCGUUGGGUAGGGGAGCGUUCUGUAAGCCUGUGAAGGUGGCCUGUGAGGGUUGCUGGAGGUAUCAGAAGUGCGAAUGCUGACAUAAGUAACGAUAAAGCGGGUGAAAAGCCCGCUCGCCGGAAGACCAAGGGUUCCUGUCCAACGUUAAUCGGGGCAGGGUGAGUCGACCCCUAAGGCGAGGCCGAAAGGCGUAGUCGAUGGGAAACGGGUUAAUAUUCCCGUACUUGGUGUUACUGCGAAGGGGGGACGGAGAAGGCUAUGUUGGCCGGGCGACGGUUGUCCCGGUUUAAGCGU